rnacentral:misc_RNA from 1 species
GUGAAUCAUCGAAUCUUUGAACGCAAAUUGCACUCUCUUCGGAGAGUAUGCGUGUUUGAGUGUCAGCCUAAAAAAAAUUGACAUACUCUCUGUUUCCUGGUUACAUUCGUCGCACAUUGGGUCAUCUUAAACCUUUGGUUUUUAAGCUGCUUAAAAUUUUCUUUACGUUUCUAUGAACGUUUCUUAGAUUUACUUACAUGCUUAAGGUAUCGAUUUUUAUUAGACGUGGCCGUUGCAUCGGUUGAC